AGCAGCCGCGGUAAUUCCAGCUCCAAUAGCGUAUAUUAAAGUUGUUGCAGUUAAAAAGCUCGUAGUUGAAUUUCGGGGUUAGUAGGUUGGUCAUGCCCCUGGUAUGUACUGGUCUCACUGAUUCCUCCUUCCUGAUGAGCCGUAAUGCCAUUAAUUUGGUGUUGCGGGGAAUUUGGACUGUUACUUUGAAAAAAUUAGAGUGUUUAAAGCAGGCUCACGCUUGAAUACAUUAGCAUGGAAUAACGAAAUAGGACGUUUGAUUCUAUUUUGUUGGUUUCUAGGAUCGACGUAAUGAUUAAUAGGGAUAGUUGGGGGCAUUAGUAUUCAAUUAUCAGAGGUGAAAUUCUUGGAUUUAUUGAAGACUAACUACUGCGAAAGCAUUUGCCAAGGAUGUUUUCAUUAAUCAAGAACGAAAGUUAGGGGAUCGAAGACGAUCAGAUACCGUCGUAGUCUUAACCAUAAACUAUGCCGACUAGGGAUCGGAUGAUGUUAAUUUUUAAUGUACUCAUUCGGCGCCUUA
rnacentral:rRNA from 1 species